rnacentral:rRNA from 1 species
CCUACGUGCGGCAGCAGUGAGGAAUAUUGGUCAAUGGGCGCGAGCCUGAACCAGCCAAGUAGCGUGAAGGAUGACUGCCCUACGGGUUGUAAACUUCUUUUAUAAAGGAAUAAAGUGAGGCACGUGUGCCUUUUUGUAUGUACUUUAUGAAUAAGGAUCGGCUAACUCCGUGCCAGCAGCCGCGGUAAUACGGAGGAUCCGAGCGUUAUCCGGAUUUAUUGGGUUUAAAGGGAGCGUAGAUGGGUUGUUAAGUCAGUUGUGAAAGUUUGCGGCUCAACCGUAAAAUUGCAAUUGAUACUGGCAGUCUUGAGUACAGUUGAGGUAGGCGCAAUUCGUGGUGUAGCGGUGAAAUGCUUAGAUAUCACGAAGAACUCCGAUUGCGAAGGCAGCUUACUAAACUGCCACUGACAUUGAUGCUCGAAAGUGUGGGUAUCAAACAGGAUUAGAUACCCUAGUAGUC